CCUACGGGAGGCAGCAGUAGGGAAUAUUGGUCAAUGGGGGAAACCCUGAAGCAGCAACGCCGCGUGGAGGAUGAAGGUUCUCGGAUUGUAAACCCCUUUUGGUAGAGAAGAAAAUGGCGGUAUCUAUCGGAUAAGCACCGGCUAACGCCGUGCCAGCAGCCGCGGUAAUAUUGAGGGUGCAAGCGUUAAUCGGGAUAACUGGGCGUAAAGGGCGCGUAGGGGGGAUAGCAAGUCAGGUGUGAAAACGUUUGGCGUAACCAUGGAACUGCAGUUGAAACUGUUGUUCUGGAGUUGGGGAGAGGUAGGUGGAAUUCUUGGUGUAGGGGUGAAAUCCGUAGAUAUCAAGAGGAAUACUCAUUGCGAAGGUAGCCUUCUAGAACCUAACUGACGCUGAUGCGCGAAAGCGUGGGGAGCAAACAGGAUUAGAUACCCUAGUAGUC
rnacentral:rRNA from 1 species